AGGGCGCAAGGGGAAUGCCUUGGCACUGAGAGCCGACGAAGGACGCGACAAGCUGCGAUAAGCUACGGGGAGCCGCAAAUGGGCUUUGAUCCGUAGAUUUCCGAAUGGGGAAACCCGGCAGAGCAAUACUCUGUCAGCGUGCGUUGAAUCAAAUAGGCGUACGCGGGGAACCGCCUGAACUGAAACAUCUAAGUAGGGCGAGGAAGAGAAAUCAACCGAGAUUCCGCUAGUAGUGGCGAGCGAACGCGGAAGAGGCCAAACCGGAGGUAGCAAUAUUUCCGGGGUUAGGACUGCAACAUGUAACUUUAAUCUUUAACUGAAUGCUUUGGGAAGAGCAGCGAAACAGGGUGAUAGCCCCGUAAGUGAAAAGGAUUGAGUGCUAGCAGUAUCCAGAGUACCAGCGGACACGUGAAACCCGCUGGGAAGAUGGGGGGACCAUCCUCCAAGCCUAAAUACUACUCAGUGACCGAUAGUGGAGCAGUACCGUGAGGGAAAGGUGAAAAGUACCCCGGGAGGGGAGUGAAAAAGAACCUGAAACCUUGUGCCUACAAGCACCGAGAGCACGUUAAAGUGUGAUCGGGUACUUUUUGUAGAACGGUCCGGCGAGUUAAUAUUUGCAGCGAGGUUAAGGAACUGGAGUUCCGGAGCCGCAGCGAGAGCGAGUCUGAAAAGGGCGUAUGAAGUUGCAGGUAUUAGACCCGAAACCGGGUGACCUAUCCAUGAGCAGGCUGAAGCGGUGGUAAGACACCGUGGAGGGCCGCACCCACGUCUGUUGAAAAAGCCGGGGAUGACUUGUGGAUAGCGGAGAAAUUCCAAUCGAACUCGGAGAUAGCUGGUUCUCCCCGAAAUAGCUUUAGGGCUAGCGUUAUGUUAGAUUACCGGAGGUAAAGCACUGAAUGGUGGCGGGGCCGAUAAGGUUACCAAGACCUAUCAAACUCUGAAUGCCGGAUAAUUGAUGCAUAGCAGUCAGACAGCGUGAGAUAAGUUUCGUUGUCAAAAGGGAAACAGCCCAGACCCACAGCUAAGGUCCCAAAUUCAUGCUAAGUGGAAAACGAUGUGGAAUUGCGAAAACAACCAGGAUGUUGGCUUAGAAGCAGCCACUCAUUAAAAGAGUGCGUAAUAGCUCACUGGUCGAGUGACUCUGCGCGGAAAAUAUAACGGGGCUAAGCAUGAAACCGAAGCUUGGGCUUGUACUUAGGUACAGGGGUAGGGGAGCGUCGAGUAUGGGGUGAAGUCAGAGCGGAAGCACUGGUGGACUGUACUGGAGUGAGAAUGCCGGAAUGAGUAGCGAGAAUUAUGUGGGAAUCAUAAUGGCCGAAAAUCUAAGGUUUCUUGGGGAAGGUUCGUCCGCCCAAGGUAAGCCGGGAGCUAAGGCGAGGCCGAAAGGCGUAGUCGAUGCACAUACGGUAGAAAUUCCGUAGCCACCGAACUUUAAGUCAGAGGGACACUUUUGGAUAGCGGAACCCGGGCGUUGGUUGACCCGGGCGAAAGGGAGCGAAAAUAUAGUAGCGAAGUCCGCGAUGCUGAGAGGCGAGAAAAGCUCUGAUGGAUACUAAGGUGCCCGUACCGCAAACCGACACAGGUAGAUGAGGAGAGAAUCCUAAGGCCAACGGGAGAAGGGUUGUUAAGGAACUCGGCAAAUUGACCCCGUAACUUCGGAAGAAGGGGAGCCCCCUACGGGGGGUCGCAGAGAAAUGGCCCAAGCAACUGUUUACCAAAAACACAGGUCUAUGCUAAAUCGAAAGAUGACGUAUAUGGGCUGACGCCUGCCCGGUGCCGGAAGGUUAAGAGGAGAUGUCAGGCAACGAAGCAUUGAAUUUAAGCCCCGGUAAACGGCGGCCGUAACUAUAACGGUCCUAAGGUAGCGAAAUUCCUUGUCAGGUAAGUUCUGACCCGCACGAAUGGCGUAAUGAUUUGGGCACUGUCUCAACAGCCCGCCCGGCGAAAUUGUAGUACUGGUGAAGAUGCCAGUUACCCGCAACUAGACGGAAAGACCCCAUGGAGCUUUACUGCAGUUUAAUACUGGGAAUCGGUAAUUCAUGUACAGGAUAGGUGGGAGACUGAGAAGCAUGGCCGUCAGGUCGUGUGGAGUCACCCUCAUCUUCAUUGUAUGAAUCAAUAUCGGAAAUAAGCGCAACAUCCUCAAGAAAUUCAGAAAGAUUUGCGUCUUCGCUUUCUUCCUCAUACUUGAUAAACAUUGAUGAAAGUUCCUUGAUAUUGUUUACUCUGUCCUCGUAUGUUUCAGGCUCCUCCUGAAGAUAAUCAAGAUAUUUGGUAACGUCCAAAACUUCUUGCAGCAAGUCAUUAAGCCCCAUUCCGUUUUCGAUACAUUCCUGAAAAUCUCUAAUCAUUUUUGUAAAAUUCAUAAGCUUGGAAGCACUGCGUGAGGUUUUUUGAAAUUCAUCUGCACGUUCGCAAACCUCGAAAGCCGACAUACCAAGCCCUGCCCCGAUUUCAAGCACGUUUGCAAACAUAGUAUCCCCAAUUGCACGCUUUGGAACAUUAAUGAUUCGCUGAAGCCUUACAUUAUCGCUCGGAUUAUUAAUAACGGCAAGAUACGACACAAUAUCCUUGAUUUCUUUUCUGUCAAAAAAGCGAUGACCGCCGAUAAUCCUGUGCGAAAUACCGCUUUUUGUAAGCAUAACUUCAAGGUUACGUGACUGCGCAUUCAUACGGUAAAGAAUUGCGUGG
rnacentral:rRNA from 1 species